GACGAACGCUGGCGGCGUGCCUAAUACAUGCAAGUCGAGCGGACGGAUGGGAGCUUGCUCCCAGACCGUCAGCGGCGGACGGGUGAGUAACACGUGGGCAACCUGCCUGUAAGACUGGGAUAACUCCGGGAAACCGGGGCUAAUACCGGAUAACUCUUUCCCUCACAUGAGGGAAAGCUGAAAGAUGGCAUCUCGCUAUCACUUACAGAUGGGCCCGCGGCGCAUUAGCUAGUUGGUGAGGUAACGGCUCACCAAGGCGACGAUGCGUAGCCGACCUGAGAGGGUGGAUCGCCACACUGGGACUGAGACACGGCCCAGACUCCUACGGGAGGCAGCAGUAGGGAAUCUUCCGCAAUGGACGAAAGUCUGACGGAGCAACGCCGCGUGAGUGAUGAAGGUUUUCGGAUCGUAAAACUCUGUUGUCAGGGAAGAACAAGUACCGGAGUAACUGCCGGUACCUUGACGGUACCUGACCAGAAAGCCACGGCUAACUACGUG
rnacentral:rRNA from 1 species